rnacentral:lncRNA from 1 species
AGAACACAGAACCCAACCAUUGUUUCUCGUGGCUCCCCAUAGUUCUUAGGAUGAGGCCCCAGCUCCUUAACUUGGCAUUCAAGGCCUCACAUCAUCCUGCUCCUGCCACUCUCUCCAGCCGCCUCCACUCCUCUCCCACCGCCAUGCUCUAAUGCAGGGACAAAGCUGAUUCUGAGCAGAUCUGGCACAAGGAAGUCACCAGAAAACACUAUUGGGUUCCUCAAGGGUAAAGACUGGAUCUUAUCCAUCUUGUUGCCCAUUCCUGCCUCUGCAAUCAUGUGCACUCUGGGAACUUGGAAAAUACAUUGUGGCAUCCAGUAUUAAAUCUCAUGGUACCUAGAAUGACUGUUGUCAUUCAUUCAUCCAUUUAUUCAUUCACUC